rnacentral:misc_RNA from 1 species
GUCGAUCGGGACUGUGAAUCCGAAUUCUCUCUUCGAAAAUCUCUAGAGCCGAUUGAAUUGUACGGAUUAAAAAUCAGUGAGCAUUUUCCGUUCAUCCAAAAAUGGAAUCAGUGUUUAUUGUGAGUGGAUAAAUCGACGAGUAGUAAUUUUCGCUGAUAAUUAGUUCCAACCGCUGCGCAACUCCAUCAAUCUCGCGUCUGCGGAGAACGCAGACAUUUUCAACUUCGACAUUUGUGCCGUUUCCACUCUUAGCUGUACGGUGUAGUAUAAUAGCAGCUAUAAAUGCU